AUCUCAAGCCCUUAGAUCUCCAGGUUCCAGUCAAAGUAUCGAUACAGUGAAGGGACUUUUUGGCAUUGACCUUGUUAGCAGGGUGCAUUGUGCUGAGAGUGGUGAAGAAAGUUUAGAAACAGAGUCAAUUUAUUCUCUUAAAUGCCACAUAUCACAUGAAGUCAAUCAUUUGCAUGAGGGGCUGAAACAUGUAAUUUUUGUUAUUCACAU